rnacentral:rRNA from 1 species
UGGGGAAUAUUGGACAAUGGGCGCAAGCCUGAUCCAGCCAUGCCGCGUGAGUGAUGAAGGCCUUCGGGUCGUAAAGCUCUGUGGGGAGGGAAGAAUCCUUGCAGCAUCAGAUCCUGCAAGUUGACGGUACCUCCUUAGCAAGCACCGGCCAACUCCGUGCCCGCAGCCGCGGUAAUACGGAGGGUGCAAACGUUGCUCGGAAUCAUUGGGCGUAAAGCGCACGUAGGCGGACCAUCAAGUCGGUUGUGAAAUCCCUCGGCUUAACCGAGGACGUGCAUUCGAAACUGAUGGCCUUGAGUACUAAAGAGGAUCGCGGAAUUCCCGGUGUAGAGGUGAAAUUCGUAGAUAUCGGGAGGAACUCCAGUGGCGAAGGCGGCGAUCUGGGUAGAUACUGACGCUGAGGUGCGAAAGCGUGGGGAGCAAA